rnacentral:rRNA from 1 species
AACGAACGCUGGCGGCAGGCUUAACACAUGCAAGUCGAGCGCGUGUAGCAAUACACGAGCGGCGCACGGGUGAGUAACGCGUGGAUAUCUGCCUUUUGGUUCGGAAUAACCCCGGGAAACUGGGGCUAAUACCGGAUGGUUCCUACGGGAUAAAGAUUUAUCGCCAAAAGAUGAGUCCGCGUCCGAUUAGCUAGUUGGUGAGGUAACGGCUCACCAAGGCGACGAUCGGUAGCUGGUCUGAGAGGACGAUCAGCCACACUGGGACUGAGACACGGCCCAGACUCCUACGGGAGGCAGCAGUGGGGAAUAUUGGACAAUGGGGGCAACCCUGAUCCAGCCAUGCCGCGUGAGUGAUGAAGGCCUUCGGGUUGUAAAGCUCUUUUGGCGGGGACGAUGAUGACGGUACCCGCAGAAUAAGCCCCGGCUAACUUCGUGC